ACAUACGAUCAUAGAUUGAGGAAAAUUCGGGUCCCCGUCCGCUCACCCCUAGACAAGCCUCAAAUCGGCCCAUUAGUACUAUGGUGGGUGACCACAUGGGAAUACGGUGCUGUUGUAUGUU
rfam:Verruconis gallopava strain CBS 43764 unplaced genomic scaffold supercont1.30, whole genome shotgun sequence.